AAAACAUAGCCCCCUGAAAAAAUAGGGGGUCUAGCCUGCCCAGUGGUCCAAGACUAAACGGCCGCGGUAUCUUGACCGUGCAAAGGUAGCAUAAUCACUUGUCUUUUAAAUGAAGACUUGUAUGAACGGAAUAACCUUUCUUAACUGUCUCCCUUGCUUUCCUUUGAAACUCGUAUUUAGGUGAAGAACCCUAAAUAACACAGAAAGACGAGAAGACCCUGUCGAGCUUCAGCUAAAAAAGGAAUUCUAAUGAAAGCUUAAUAUCCUACCAUAGCUUUGGUUGGGGCAACCACGGAGAACAAGAAUCCUCCGGGAAUUGUGGAAGAAAAAUCCUCUCUCCACCUCAUCAAGAAAAGAACCAGAACCUGGAAAACGGAAAAAGCUACCGCAGGGAUAACAGCGUUAUCUCCUCUAAGAGUCCAUAUUGACGAGGAGGCUUGCGACCUCGAUGUUGGAUUGGGGCACCCACAGGGUGCAGAAGCUCUGAAAGGUCGGACUGUUCGUCCGUUAAAGCCCUACGUGAUCU
rnacentral:rRNA from 1 species